GUCUAAUGUUGACGCCCAUCUGUGUCUGUGCAUUGUGUUCGUGUCCUGCUCGUCUAGCUAACCACCGAUCUUGUGUCGAGGCUCACGGUCAGAGUCUGUUUCGUGUCCGAGUGGACUUCUGAUUGCCUGUCUGGUGUCCAAAUCAUGUGACUGUUGCUGCAGAGGCUCUUCAAAAAUCACCUAUUCUUCAAACUGGAGAAGAGGGAAUUCUUCAUUAGUCGGUUUCCUGGUAACAGUGGCCAAAUUGUUAAAGUAGUUGCCAUCGGGAGCAACCCUUGAUCAAGUCCUUGACCGGCAGAAGAAUGUUGGCAAAAAAACAUCAGGUUCACAAAGUGCGGAUGCAGUAAUGUACACUCAAAAUCCUCUGGACUCACGGCAGUGGUGUCCUUGAGCAAGACGUAGAUACCCUGAACUUGUCCAGUCUGACUCUUGUAACAGGUCAAAUGCAGAAGACACAUUUUGUGAAAAUGCAUGUGUCGAAUAGCUCAAAUUUGAUCUUGUCAAGAUUCAAGUAGUUACUGAUGGGCCCACUCUUAAGGACCUUCUGUAAUUCCUUUCCAACUAUACGGAAAAAACUGUUUGCCUAAGAUCUGCAAGAAAUCUGUAAAGUACUUUGUGAGCUUGUUUUUUUUCCUAUCUCCAGUACCCUCGUUGAUGAGCUCCAGUACCCGACCAGACAGCUUUGCUUCAAACCUCUCAACCCACACGUUGCCUCUGGAACAACUUUCCAUGCUUCUCUGUCACCGCCACCUUCAAUAAAUCCAUGUUCUUCCUGUUUUAAA